AGUGAACGCUGGCGGUAGGCCUAACACAUGCAAGUCGAACGGCAGCACAGGAGAGCUUGCUCUCUGGGUGGCGAGUGGCGGACGGGUGAGGAAUACAUCGGAAUCUGCCCAGUCGUGGGGGAUAACGUAGGGAAACUUACGCUAAUACCGCAUACGACCUUCGGGUGAAAGAGGGGGAUCGCAAGACCUCUCGCGAUUGGAUGAGCCGAUGUCGGAUUAGCUAGUUGGCGGGGUAAUGGCCCACCAAGGCGACGAUCCGUAGCUGGUCUGAGAGGAUGAUCAGCCACACUGGAACUGAGACACGGUCCAGACUCCUACGGGAGGCAGCAGUGGGGAAUAUUGGACAAUGGGCGCAAGCCUGAUCCAGCCAUACCGCGUGGGUGAAGAAGGCCUUCGGGUUGUAAAGCCCUUUUGUUGGGAAAGAAAUCUUUCAGGCUAAUACCCUGGGAGGAUGACGGUACCCAAAGAAUAAGCACCGGCUAACUUC
rnacentral:rRNA from 1 species